GGGGUUUUUGUGUUUCAAACAUUAAUUGUUGUUUGGAUGAUGGGAAAUCGGAAUCCUCAGGAUAAAGAUGGGAACUUGAAUAUUUUACUAUAGAAAUGAAAAUGGUAAA